UACGGGGGGGGGCAAGCGUUGUUCGGAAUUACUGGGCGUAAAGGGCUCGUAGGUGGCCAACUAAGUCAGACGUGAAAUCCCUCGGCUUAACCGGGGAACUGCGUCUGAUACUGGAUGGCUUGAGUUCGGGAGAGGGAUGCGGAAUUCCAGGUGUAGCGGUGAAAUGCGUAGAUAUCUGGAGGAACACCUAUAGCGAAGGCAGCUUGCUGGGACGUUACUGACGCUAAGGCGCGAAAGCGUGGGGAGCGAACAGG
rnacentral:rRNA from 1 species